UACGUAGGGACCAAGCGUUGUUCGGAUUUACUGGGCGUAAAGGGCGCGUAGGCGGCUUUAUAAGUCGGGGGUGAAAGCCCGUGGCUCAACCACAGAAUUGCCUUCGAUACUGUAGAGCUUGAGACCGGAAGAGGUAAGUGGAACUGCGAGUGUAGAGGUGAAAUUCGUAGAUAUUCGCAAGAACACCAGUGGCGAAGGCGGCUUACUGGUCCGGUUCUGACGCUGAGGCGCGAAAGCGUGGGGAGCAAACAGG
rnacentral:rRNA from 1 species